CCUACGGGAGGCAGCAGUGGGGAAUAUUGCACAAUGGGCGCAACCCUGAUGCAGCGACGCCGCGUGCAUGAAGAAGUCUUUCGGUAUGUAAAGCUCUAUCAGCAGGGAGGAAAAUGACGGUACCCGUAUCCGAAGCAACGGCUAAUUCCGGGACAGCAGCCGCGGUAAUACGUAGGGGGCAAGCGUUAUGCGGAUUUACGGGGUGUAAAGGGAGCGUAGACGGCAGGACAAGUCCGGGGUGAAAUGCCCGGGCUUAACCCGGGAACUGCUUUUGAUACUGUGCAGCUAGAGUGCAGUAGAGGUAGGUGGAAUGCCUGGUGUAGCGGUGAAAUGCGUAGAGAUCAGGAGGAACACCGGUGGCGAAGGCGGCUUACUGGACUAUAACUGACGUUGAGGCGCGAAAGCGUGGGGAGCAAACAGGAUUAGAUACCCGAGUAGUC
rnacentral:rRNA from 1 species